GUUUUUUAUAACUUUUAUUCAUUACAACAUUCUAGACACAUUGGUUUAUGAAAAAGUGACAUAGACCUUUCAAAAGGGAAAGCCGACCUCUUUUUUUUUGAAGCACAGCAGUCCCCACUCGGAACGAAUUCCAUCCCCCCUCCAGGUCUACAAAAUACGUGCACAGUUGGAGAAAUGAUAAAGAUGACAAGCGUGCACAUGUCCCACAAGAAGACCAGCAACAGCCUGUUCAAGUUUAUUCGAUAAUGAUCCUUCCGCAGGUUCACCUACGGAAA
rnacentral:misc_RNA from 1 species